rnacentral:lncRNA from 10 species
AUCACUUGAGCCUAGGAGUUGAAGGCUGCAGUGAGCUAUGAUAGUGCCUCUGCACUCCAGCCUGGGUGACAGAGCAAGAAACUGUCUCCAAAACAAAUAUAUUGAAUUGAAAAUAAUCACGUAAUAAUCUUGCUUUGACUAAGACAAUGAAACUGUGGCUUUUAAAAAAAAAGUAUUUUAGCACCAUAUGCUCAUUUGUCUUUCAGAAUUUGGAUUAAUGAAUGACGUAACUGCUUCAGGGCAACACACCCUCACUGCAGCUGCUUAGCCCAGGAAGCAGCAAGGUCAAUACAAGGAGAGCCACAGGCCUGGGGAGAUGCAUGCCUUCCUUCCUGGCCACGUGGAUCUCACUACUUAGCCCAGAUGGCCUGCGAGAAGGACAAAGCCAAGCACUUCACAACACUGUCAGUUGCUGUCCUGAAGAAGGUGGCCAGGAGCUCUAGAAGGAUUCAAAGCCCCAGGGAUUUUUGGUUUUUAUGUAUACACUUCUCUUUACAUACUUGUUCCUCAACAUCCAAUCAGCCUUGCAGGGAUGAUGUAAUAGCCAGAAAAAUAAGUGAACAGAAGAUUCCGGGUUCUACUUUAUGCCAAUUUUUCUUAAAUAUCUCAGUCACUAGAAAAAGAUCUAUUUGAAAAUCUUGCUCUGAGCAGUUUCUGUCUUGGGCCCAGUUGUUUGAGGAGCCUGUUGAAUUUUUAAAUUUAUUAGUGUUCCCAUGCUUCAUUCAUUGGCAUAUAUGUAUAUUCUCUAUACUUUAUAAUUACAAGUAAGCUCUUGAUAAUAAAAAGUAACUGUCAUUCUGUGAAGCUCUUUAAUGCAGCCAAAGAUAAUUUCAGGGGGCAAUUGGCAGUCUAAGUCCUUGCUUUCUCUCAUUUUAAAGGAGAACCAAAUCAACUUAGAGUGAAUUUGUUCAAAUGUGGGUAAGAUUUAACAGGCACUUCAGCUGCCCAGGGUACUUUUCCAUGUCUCUCCAACCAACCCCACCCAAAUAGCUUAGGAUUGGCAUUUUCUGAUGAGCACAGGGAUAGAGAAUGAGAACGGAGUCAGGUCCUCAGGUAUUCAAGGUUAGAAUUCCUUCUUAACCUUGCCCACUAUGCCCUAUGUGGGGACAUGCUACAGCAGAGAUCACUUGAGAAUUAUCCUGUGGCUCACACUGCCAUAAUUAGUUAUCUGUUCGGCACCUCUCAACUAAUCAGAACAAUGGCACAUCCAAAAGUAAAAGGAGAAGAAAGGAGACAAGAAUACAGCGACUGAAUAAUAAAA